rnacentral:tRNA from 1 species
GGGGUCAUAGUUCAAUUGGUAGAACAUAAAUUUUGCAUAUUUAGAACAUGGGUUCAAGUCCCAUUGACUCCA